UGGUGUAUAGCGAACUAUAUUACAGAUAAUGAUAAAUUAUUAAAUAUCAUAAAUUAUGCAUGUGCUAAAAUCAAUUGUGGAAUUAUUAUGGAAGGAGGUUCAUGUUAUCAUCCUAAUACUCCUCUUCAUCAUGCUUCUGUCGCCAUGAAUCUUUAUUAUCAAGCUCAAGGAGGAAACCAAACGCAAAGCGAUUGCUCCUUCGAAGGCUCUGGUCUCAUUACCAUCACUGAUCCUAGCUAUGGGAGUUGCAAAUUUCAGUAUAGUCCGUAAAAGUAUGCAAAGCUUUGUAUUGGUUAAAAUAAAAUAAAAUGAAUAACAGAGAACUCUAUUUAUGGAAUUUCAUUUUGAUCUAAA